UGGGGAAUCUUGCGCAAUGGGCGAAAGCCUGACGCAGCGACGCCGCGUGCGGGAAGAAGGCCUUCGGGUUGUAAACCGCUUUCAGGAGGGACGAAGCUACUCGGGUUAACAGCCCAGAGGGUGACGGUACCUCCAGAAGAAGCCCCGGCUAACUACGUGCCAGCAGCCGCGGUAAUACGUAGGGGGCUAGCGUUGUCCGGAUUUAUUGGGCGUAAAGCGCGUGUGGGCGGCCAGUUAGGUCCGCUGUGAAAACUCGAGGCUUAACCUCGAGAGGUCGGCGGAAACCAUCUGGCUAGAGUCCGGAAGAGGGAGAGUGGAAUUCCCGGUGUAGCGGUGAAAUGCGCAGAUAUCGGGAAGAACACCUGUGGCGAAAGGCGGCUCUCUGGGACGGUACUGACGCUGAGACGCGAAAGCGUGGGGAGCGAACAGGAUUAGAUACCCUGGUAGUCCACGCCGUAAACGAUGGGUGCUAGGUGUGGGGAGUGUCGACUCUCUCUGUACCGAAGCUAACGCAUUAA
rnacentral:rRNA from 1 species